GGAUAGCGGAGAAAUUCCAAUCGAACUCGGAGAUAGCUGGUUCUCCUCGAAAUAGCUUUAGGGCUAGCCUCGAGCUGGAGUCUAACGGAGGUAAAGCACUGAACUGACGCGGGGCCCAAAAAGGUUACCAACUCAUAUCAAACUAAGAAUGCCGUCAAGAUACCCUCGGGAGUCAGUCUGCGUGAGAUAAGUCGCGUGGACAAAAGGGAAAGAGCCCAGACCGACAGCUAAGGUCCCAAAGUACGUGUUAAGUGGAAAAGGAUGUGGGAUUUCAUAGACAACUAGGAUGUUGGCUUAGAAGCAGCCAUACAUUUAAAGAGUGCGUAAUAGCUCACUAGUCGAGAAAACCUGCGCCGAAAAUGUAACGGGGCUAAAACACGACACCGAAGCUACGGAUUUCCUACUAGGUAGGAAGUGGUAGAGGAGCAUCCUGCAAGGACGAAGCCAAAGUGAGAGCGAUGGUGGACGAAACAGGAGAGAGAAUGCCGGAAUGAGUAGCGAGAUACAUGUGAGAAACAUGUAGGCCGAAUAUCUAAGGAUUCCUGGGUAAAGCUAAUCUUCCCAGGGUUAGUCGGGGCCUAAGGCGAGGACGAGAGUCGUAGUCGAUGGAUAACAGGUUGAUAUUCCUGUACUACACAUAAUCAGAACUGUGGGGACGCAGGAGGAUAGGGAAACCGGGGAAUGGAAAGACCCGGUCAAGCGUAAAGCUGUGGGAGAUAGGCAAAUCCGUCUCCUGUAAGUGAAACGUGAUGAGGACUGAAAAAAAGUAAGGAAGUUUCCGAAUCCACACUGCCGAGAAAAGCCGCUAUUGCGUUAUGUGUACCCGUACCGUAAACCGACACAGGUAGAUGAGGAGAAAAUCCACAGGCCGACGGGAGAAGUGUUGUUAAGGAACUCGGCAAAAUGACCCCGUAACUUCGGGAUAAGGGGAGCCUCGCAAGAGGCCGCAGAAAAGAGGCACAAGCAACUGUUUAGCAAAAACAUAGGUCUAUGCGAAACCGUAAGGUGAAGUAUAUGGGCUGACGCCUGCCCGGUGCUGGAAGGUUAAGAGGAGAGGUUAGCGCAAGCGAAGCUUUGAAUUUAAGCCCCAGUAAACGGCGGCCGUAACUAUAACGGUCCUAAGGUAGCGAAAUUCCUUGUC
rnacentral:rRNA from 1 species